CAGCUGGAGGAGGUAAAUCAACAGCUGGAGCCACAACUGGAGUCACUUCUACAGCUGGAGGAGGUAAAGCAACAGCUGGAGCCACAACUGGAGUCACUACUUCAGCUGGAGGAGGUAAAUCAACAGCGGGAACUACAACUGGAGUCACUACUUCAGCUGGAGGAGAUGGAACCAGUUCACAUGGAGGUGGAGAAUAAACCACAGCUGGGGUCACUUCUUCCACUGGAGUAGGAAGGACUACAGGCUCCAGCUGAAGAUGUAGUUCAACAAUAGGUGGAGGUUGAACUGCCUCAACAGAUAGGGUUGAAGGUACGACAGUUUCAAGAGGUUUGACAGCAGGAGCAGCAGCAGCAGGUUCAGCAGGUUGUUUCACAGUUUCAGAGAGCAGAGAUGGAGCUGAAAGUUCAGGUGGAGCUGCAGCUGCUGGAAGCGACUCCACAGGUGGAGGAAGGACAAGAGGUUCAACGACUUGUUCUGCAAUAGUUGGUGUAGAAGAUGGAGUUUCUGGUGCUAUGACGAGGGGUUCAGGGGGAGGUAGAACGACUGGCCCCGCUGCAGGAGGACCGAGAGGAGGAGGUGCAGGCUCCACAUUUGUUGUCACUGGUGGAGAAAGUGAGGAUAAAGGAGGAGGUGGGGCUAAGACUUCAGAUUCCAGAGAAGUCGUAGGAAGGGAGUGAAACUUUACAGGAGGAGGAGGCACUAGUUUAACAGGUGGAGGAAGAGAAGCAGAUUCCAGUGAUGGAGUCGUGGAUGGGGCUUCCAGAGGAGGAAGAGGUGGUGGAGGGGAGAUGAACGAAGCAGGAGGAGAUGUCAGGAGAGGCAGCAUGUCAUCAACAGAGGGGGCGGAGGCCGGAGCGGCUGCUGGUGAUUCAGGUGAGUGUAGAGGAGCAAUUCCAUUCUGUGGGAGUCGAGGGCUGACCACUGAAGGCUGUUUCAUCCGGUUGAUGACUCGGUCCGACAGCUGGAGAGAGAAACACAAAUGUAUUGUGGUGAGCGCCACCUGCUGGGCUCAUCAGGUAUAUUUUCAAAAUAGUGAACAAUUCAUUUUUUGUCCUUCAACUAAUUAAUCAAGUAAUUCCUGCACCUCUACAAAGUACAAUACAGGUUACAAAAUGUGCAAUGUUUAUUUAUAUGUCAAAUAAACUGAUCUCAAAGUUAAUUUCUCUCAUUUUAGGUAGUUCUUAUCCAUCCAUGACCUAGGUCUAAUAUUUACUUCAUCGAAAGCUGUGGUUUCUGACACUGAAAACUAACUCUCUGACCCAAACUAGGCUCAGAAACAAACACAGCUCAACACUGGAAAUUACAGUUUCACAACACAUGAAGCUAAUCCAACAAAAUGCUUAAUAAUAAUCCUUCUUUAGCUAUGCAGGGAUAUAUAUUACGUUCCUUAAAUUAAAUAUUAUUAAUAGUAUUUUAAAUAUCCCAGCAGUUAUGUCCUGAUGUAGAUCUCACAAGCUCGAUGCACCAACAAAAGUUUUUUAAUAAUCAAAAGAAAUUAUGUUUUGAACGAUUAACACGCUAAAAUACAGAUUAUUUUUCAGGUCAAGAUUGUUAAACAUAAAACUCUCUACUCUUAUUGGCAAAAUAACAAUGUUAUGUUGUUAUUCUUAGAUAAACAAAUGAUUUUAUACAACUAGAAAAGCACAAGCUCAUAUUGCCUCUAGUUACAAGUUGACAGAGCACAAUGUCACUGACAGAGGUCAAUGUAAGUUACAGAACUUUCCCUAUAAUAGCUAUAGGAUUACUGAAACCUUUAAAGCACAUUUCAAUAUGCUACUUUUGUCGGGUUUAAGAAUUUUGGAAAAAACUAAACCGCAGCAUGUAUGAAAUAAUAAUAUCAUAUUUAAAUGUUGUCUUUUAAAGCUGUAUGGUUUAUUUUCUAUCACAGGCCUGUGUUUAUUUCUAGUUUUUUUUUAUUAAGUUCCAGCAAUUACUCUUUUAAAUAUUUAAAAAGGUAAAGAAAUUUAAAUUCAAAUAUAGAGGAUGUAGAAAAUAUACAUAAGAUUCAGUGAGGAAAUAAAGACAAUUAUUCACCAGCUAUUAUUAGGAAUAUUAAAAUUAUUAAGCAGUUAAAUUGAGAAAAUGAUGCCUCAUCCAUGAAGAUUACAGUUUAAUGAAGCAGAUAUUAAUUGGGAAUGUUUCAUUGUUUGAUUUAGAUUAAUGAAAAGCAGCUUUUGAUCACAAUUAGAAACUAUUCACAGUCUGAAGAUCACCAGUCAGUGUUGAUGCAGCUGUGGGUGCAGUGUGUGCGUGACCCUUUGGAAUAAAGUCUCAGUUUAAAUCCCAUGCGAAGUUUUCCUGGAGCUUCCACUCACCCGGAUGCCCUUCACAAAAGCUACUCCGGCUGCCUCCCCCUCUUCUUGGGAGAGGUGACUAUGGCUGUUUCCCCCCAUCCACACACCACCUUCUGCACCAGUCUGUCAACCAGGAGCGUUACUGUAAAUACUUAAUCCUCCAAACAACGUGGAUCACACAGGUCUGCUGCACACCGAUGUCUGCCCUUCCCACCGCCGCCUCACAACUAUAGCUGCUCCUAUUGGCUGCAGCUGAACAACAGCUCAUGGGAUUGGCCGCCUGGGUCAUGCAGCCAACGCCAUGCUAGGGAACAUCGUGUCCCUAACUAAGAAAUUAUUAUAUCUAGGAGCGGCUCCUGGUACAAGCGACACAGGCGGUUGCAUAGGGCGCAAAAUACCGAGAGGGCUGCACAAGAGACUGAUUUAUCAUGUUGUGACACAUGCAAUGUAAAACAAUAUGUUAACGUCACACCAUCAUCCUCAGCCCCCGGGAUGCACCGGAGGUAGAAGCGGUCCGCCUCCUUUCCUCGCCCAUGGGUACACAGUUGCAAUGAUGGUGGAUACUUGCUUAUUCAAAAAAAAAAAUUGCUGUUAAAAGACCUACCUCUUACAUAAGUAACCGUCAAGUAGAUAAACUACAGGUCUAUUAGAAUAAUUUAGAUACACCAUUAAUAUUAGAAGAGAAUUUCCUGCUCUAACAGAGAAACUUUCUCUGUUUACAUCUUAAUCCUAAUAUAGGUUAAGAACCCAAAGCAUAGAAUUAAAUCAUUUCAACAUGCAUCAGUAGACAUUCAAUUAUCUGAAAUAGUUUUAAUAAAACAUACACUUGUCAAAGUGCAGGUGUGCUGUCUUGAAAAACAGCUUCGGAUUCCUAUCACUUGUGCACAUGUACCAACUGUAGGCAAGCCAGCAUCUAAAACAUCCUCCUGGAUGGCUCCCUGUGUGAACAGUCAGGUGGCGGCUCAUACAGAAUUUGCGCUUCCGCCUCAGGUGUGUCCCUGACGUACAUGCUGCGGUGAUAGACUGCGGUUAGAGUCAAAGAUGAAUAAAAAAAAGAUUAAAUUAUAAGGUGCACAAUUCAGAAAGCACCGCAAAGUAGAGGAAGAGAAGAAAGAACAAUAUAGAGGUAAGAAUCACCCCGUUUGUCGACAUGACAUGAUAUGCUAUCAGUACAGCUGAGUUCAGACUCUUUUUAUAUUUUUUAUUAUAUAUUUUUAUUGUUAUAUAUAGCUUACAAUUUUGUCUGCCUGUGUGUGCAUCUGUAAAAAGUCCAAAAGUUCUUGGGGAUGCAUGACAGUUUGCCUGUGUAUGUUGGGGGGCGCCAAUUUGGAAUCUCGCCUAGGGCGCCAACAUUGCCAGGGCCGGCCCUGAUUAUAUCUGUAAACAAACACACCCCUUUGGUGGAGAUGCAGUCACAUCCAUUGAAUAAUGAUCAUUCGUAGCCAUGUUGUCGUUUUAUUUUCAGUGGUGUGUAAAUGAACAGGUCUAUCAACAUGUCAGUCAAUGAAACUGAUCCAUUACACCUGAGACAAUAUGACGAGAACACAUAAAAACUUAAUGCAAAAUCUGCCUGAACCCCACUAAUGUAACAGUCCUGAUUUACAGCAUCACAUCAGGUCUGUAGUAUAAUCCCCCUGAUCCACUAGGUCAAUCAACUGUCACUUCUAUCAAAUAAAUACUCAAACGCAAGAUCAAAAGUGGCAUCACAAUUUGGCAUCUAUGCAUUCUAAGAAAGUACUAUUGUUAUUGUCAGGUGAUAUUCUGUGUAUUAAAUUGACCAUCAUACAAAUAAAUUAUAUAAAAAGACAAAACGAACAAGGUAUUGAUCUUAUUAAAUAAUUUUUCUGAGCCAUAGGAGCUACACUGUUGUCAAGAAGCUAUCAUUGAGCAACACUGUUACUGAAAUUAAAAUGAAAAAAUCCUCUGUGGUGUAUUUUGAGUGAGUCCCUCUUAUACCAACAUCAUACAGCCACAGCAUUAAGCAUCAAUACUCCUAAUGUGGCUGAAUAUAUGGUCUUUACCAAAUACAAUACUUUCUCCUGUUUGAGUCAUGUCUUAUAAAAACUCCAGUAUCAAGCGGAUGUUAAAAUGUAUAUAACCUUUAAGAAAUAGUAUAACGUAACCUGUUUUUAAACCAACAUUAAUUGAUUUAAGUUUUAUUUAAAACAGUGAAGAAGGUUCAUCACAAUCUCCUGGAGCAAAAAGUUACAUAAUCAUCAAACGCUUUUAAAAUCCCCCUAAAUAUUAAAUUCACUGUGACACAAACCAAGAUCAGCGGCAAACUCUCCUGUUUGAGAGCUAUAUCACUUUUAAAAGUUGAUGAUUUGAAAAAUUAAUUAUAAAAAAUAACUCAUAAUUAUCAACUUAUUUGUUCUACCAGCAAUUCUUGACGGAUCAAACUUUAAGUUGAUAUCAUGAAAUAGUUUAAAGGUCCUGAUGUAGCAUUCAGAAAACUAGUUGUUACUGACACCAGUGGCCAUUGCAUGAACUGCAGACAGCAUCCUGUUGCUAGCACUCACUUUGUAACUAGAGCUGAGAACCCUAAAAUAGAACCCAAAUAACUAAGUUAUCACAUUUCACUAAGGUUUUCGGCAGAGAAAAGAGUGUGUAUAUUGUGGAGUGACGUCACUGUACUGAGCAGAUGUGGUUUGAGACAAGGAUAAUGUUAAACCAACGUCAGACAUGAACAAAUGAGCAGAAAGAUGAGGAACGUUAGACUGUAGAAGAUUCACAACUAGAAAGUAACAGGUUUCACAGUCAACACUGUUAUGUCACCACAGUUAUGCUGAAUGGCCAAAAGCCAUCAGCAUAAACACAAACAUUUUCAUUCUUCCCUGGAAAAAUUGUCUCGAGUUAUUUACGUAUGAAUCAGGCCACCGGCUGUUACCUGGCAGCCAUGAAGGUUGGAGGAAGGUUUCAACCUGCCUUGGCCAUAAAAUGUGAUAAUACAUGUUAACUCCCUCAUAAUUUUACGUCUCCUCGUUCCAUUUAAUAUCCAACUGAAAGAGAUUGUCAUUUAUUUGAAGUGUUUUAAUUCUCUGUUUUUGGUCUUGACAACCCCCCCCGAGCGAAAUAUCAGCUUAUUUAGCAGCUGAACUCUCCACUAUGAUCACCAGCCAGUCACUAACUGUGUCUGCUGCAUGAGACUGAGCAGUUGAUAGAAAGAUAUUUUAGAGUUUGGGGUUAAAAACAGCUGCCUGCCGAUAACACUGCUGACGGGAGAAAAUAGUUAGGUUAUGAGCAGUAAAAACUAAAAACAAUGAGCUAAAUGCACACUCCAUGAUUGCAUCACUCCGAGUGACCUCUUUCAGUACCAGGUCAUGUGAUAAAUUAAAAUAUUGAUCGUCUGAUCAAUAAGAAAUAUUGACAUGUUACAGCUGCUUUAAAAGGUCUUUGGGCCGAGCGACACAGACAUGGCAGAGAAGUGAGAGUUUUGAGUGGUUAACUAAUACAUUGUAGGUUUUGUCUUUUCAUGUAAUUUUAAUAACCAAUAUACAGAAUAUCCCCAUCCAUUAACCCGCUGUAUGUUUUUGUGCGUGUGAGCUUUACUAUAACCAAAAAGGAUUGACAUAGCUUUAUAAAAAACUGCUGCCGGGUCGCUGACCCCAAACAAUCUGAGAGUCCAACACAGUGGCUGUAUUUCAAGUAGUUUUGUCUUCACUCCGCCUUCUUCUCCUUGACGCUUGGUCCACGCAGAGCGGACUGCACGCUGCUCCACACCUCCGUGUACAUCAGCGUACCCACGAAGACCACGCCGGUGCCCACCCAGUGCCAGGUGGUGAAGGGGUUUUGGAAAUACAUGAUGGAGAAGAUGAGGCUGAGGAACUUCCUCAGUGUCACCACCAGGGUGACGGUCAGCGAGGCGCACUCGGUGGUCAGGACGAAAACCCCACGGAUACACACGUACCUGGAGACGCUGGUUAAGGAUACUGCGUGAUGACGUUGAUCAGCAGGUAGAGCCACAUUAUUGGCACAGACACUCCGACCACAGGAACCACUGCAGGAGCUGCAGAGAGGAGAUGUUUAUUUACAUCAGUGUGAUAUGAGAAAAUGACACAAACAUAAACGUUUCCCCCCGACUCACCGCUCUGACUGAAGUGGAUGCAGUGUUGGUAGAUGUCUGUGGAGAGGAGGAGGAAGCCCGGCAGAGGGAGGAAGUGCUGAAAGAGACAAGAAAUAGAAAUUUACAUUAAUCAACCUGCAUCAGAAUAAUACCAGUUAUUCACUAAGUGGGAGACUGAGGCUCAAAGGAAACUUGAAGUUUCCCUGCUGGCAUUUCAAUGUGUUGUGCCCGUCCUGCGUGUCCUAGCAAGAGAAAACUCACAUUAUAGAAGAGAGCCUCUUUGGAAUGUUUCCCAUACUGCUUGUACAGCGUCUCCUGGAAAAUACCCAUCCUCGCAGACAUCAGGAGAGCAAAGGUCAACAUGGCGAUACCUAGAACAGAAAUCCGUCCAUUAGCAACACCGCUUAUUUUUGGAGGAUCGUGGGAGAGAGAGUCCUUGUUGCCUAUGGGUGAUUUUGGAGUCGCUAAUCAGUCCAACCUGCUUGUGUUUGCACUCAAAGAGAAAGCUGGAGUACCCACAGAAAAUCCAGGUGUUUGGAGAAAUGCUAACUCCUAAAGAAAGACCCUGACUCAGACUCUUCUAGUUGUGAGGUGAGAGCAGCAACCAAUGCACCACCAUGCCGCCAAAGAACAGAAAUGAAAAAGAAAAACUCUGGUUUUACUUCUUGGGAAAUUGUUUGACAUGUGUAUGUGUGUGUGGUCUGAGUAUUCCUCUUGUUGUGGGGACCUCAAUCUCUUUACACAGUCACAUUAUGGAGACUUGUCUUCAUUACGGGGACAAAAAUGAAGUCCCCAUAUCGUAAAUCUCAGGUCUUGAGGAAAUCAAUGUUAAUCAAUGUUAUGUCCUCUGAUGCCAUAGAGACACAAUUGGUGUGUGUUGUGUAGUUGAGAUCAAAAAGAGCUGAAAGCAAAUGUUUGGAUGAGUCAACCAACAAUCAAUAAUAACUAGCAAUAAUUCUGAUUAAUCAUUUAUCAUAUAUUCACGGGUUCUAGCUUCCUCGCCAUGCAGAUGUGUGGAUUUUUCUCUCUUUUAUGAUAUUGUAAAUAAAACAUUUUAACCAUACCUCAAUAUCUAAAUAGUUGGAUAUCAUCAUCAUAAUCCCUAAACCAAAUAAAAUCCCAUUUUCUGAGCCAGAACUGACCUAUGAGCCAGCGCACGAAGGUGUAAAAUCCCUGAUCUUCUGAUCCCUCAGUGGCCACAUUCUGCAGGAGAAAAAACAAAAAGUCACAGAAAGUAGUAUUAGUAUUAGUAGAAGUAGUAGUAGUAGUAGUAGUAGUAGUAGUAGUAAUACAAGUUGAAGGUCAAGACUGGGCUGUUCAGAGAAAAUACUUUAUAUUGUGUAAAAGCAUUAUAAUGCAUAAUAACCAGGGACUGCAGAGGACUCACCACUUGUCUGGCAGACAUGAUGGUGCAGAUGAAUAUUCCAGUUGAAAUUAAAACUAUAGACAGAUAUUUACUGGCCGAGUACCUGCAGAGAGACAUGGUGGGACACAAAUCACUGCAACACAACUACAUGGGGAUGCACUGCGAGGGUGCAGACGAGUGUCAGAGGAAACAUUGAUACCUUUUCUUCAGGAUGAUUAUCCCCAGGAUCAUGUUGGCGAUGAGUGAUCCCUGCGGAGAAACAAGCAGCAGGUCAGACCGGGGUGGAGGGGAUGGGUGGGGUUUGUGUGAGAGGUGAGGGAGAAAGGAAGGAGCUCAUACCGAUCUGAAGAUCAUGUGCAGGGGCAUGGCGAUGUUGAAGUUGAGAGCGUAGUUGUUGAUCACGCUGACGGUGAAGAACAUUGUCACCAUGAUCACGUAGUUCCUGGAAAACACAGGAAUAAGAGGUUUGUGUUAAUGUCUGUUCAUCUUUUCUACAACGGGAAAUUUAAAGGAGACAUCUGUUUUUCAGUUGAACCCUUUUCCUCUGGUAUGUUAGAGGUUAUUAUUUGUGUAUGUAAAAGUGAUUUUGUUUACAGAACACCGACACUGUCUCUUUAUCACCACGAGCUCUCUUGGCAUCUCCGUCGGUGUCUUCUCUACGUGUGCAGACAUUCCGGAGGCUCAUUUGCGUUUAUUCAUUCACCUCCUCUGGGGAAACUGAGGAGGAUCUCCAGAGUUCAGUGCAUGUGUGAAUGCAGCUUAUCUCUGCUGGUGACAUCUUCUUUAACAUCUUAAACUGCAAGAGCAGCAGCUGCUUCAUUUGUAGAGAACUUAAGCAUCCAUUGUGUGCACUGCCUUUUUACCACAGCAUGGUUUAAAUACACAUCGCUGCUGAUUGGGCCACACAUCUGACCCCUCUGACAAAAGUUGACCAAUCACCUGAUAGGGAUGGUGGGUUUCUUCCUCCCAAAGUUAGAAUGGAAGAUGAAGCCUUCCAACGCGAUGAACAGAAACUGAGCGAAGGUGACGAUGUUGCCGCAUCCUGGAAACUGUCUGAAGGAAGAGAAGAAGACAACAACAACAGAUUAAAACUUGUAAUAUGUUGUUUAUUCACUGUCUGGACUCCUGUUGUAAUAGGAUAACUGAGUUGUUUUACAAUCAUGUAGAUAACCCUAAUGAAUGAAAAUACAACUAUCUACUGCUCCAGAACGAACUCUGAACCACAAUGAGAUUAUCCCUCUUGAUACAAGGACCGAAAUCUAGGUUUGAAUCUAUGUGGAAAGAUUUCAACAUUUCAAGAAAGAGUUGUGGUUGGAAAUUUUAAUAUUCAUAUAGCGCAACAUUUUCUCAUUUGUAACAGUUACAACUUAUUUGAUAGGAAAUGUCUCUGAGCUUUGGUCUGUUGAGCUGACUGAAGACACUAGUUAGGCUUCAGGAGACUGUGAUCGGGAUGUGAGAGUCAUAACGACCUCACAUUAUAUCGAGCAAACAAGUUUCCUUUGAAUGCAAACAGUACCAAAUAAUUACCGAUGUUUCAUACAGAGGAGGCAAAUAUCUUUUUUUUUAACUUGUACCUUGAUAUAAUUUUUGGUCCUUUAGUCCAGGCUUAUUUUUAAAUACUAAUACCAAGCCUGUGUGGAGCUAUCUAUAAAGCUUUGUUGUUAAAACUCCAAAAUGACCUGAGCUCUCUUCUCUCAUUUGAAACCAGUAGAUACUAGUGGUGGGGGGAAAAAUCGAUUCUGUUCAGCAUCGCGAUAUUUUACGCAUGCAGUUAUAUCGAUACAGUUGCACAAAGUAUUGCAAUAUUUUUUUCUGAACAAAAAUGCCAAUAUUCCCAAAUUAAUUUAACAUUUUGGUUCAAGACCUUGCAGCCAACUGGCCUGGACUCUAGGAGUACACAUUUUUGUUUAUUUUUCUUAAUUUGAUUGAAUCUCUAAGUUAAUUUUAUCUAUAUGAUUAUUCUCAGGUUUAUGUUACUCUAUUAUGUCUGCUUUAUGUUACUGUAUUGUAUUUAAAUAUUUUUUAGUUAUGUGCUGGGAGCUCAGCGUUCAUGUGAGAGGUCUCCUAUUCAGAAAUAAUUACAAAGGUCCUAUGUCCUGAAUGUUCAAGGACAAAGUUUUUGCAAUGUUGUUCACAGAAUUAAAUGUGACAUUUGAAGUGA